rnacentral:rRNA from 1 species
CUCAACUUUGGGCCGGUAUCCAAAACUGGCAGGCUAGAGACAGAGAGAGGUAGAUGGAAUUCUGCAUGGAGGAGUAAUAUCCGUAGAUAUGCAGAGGAACACCAAAAGCGAAGGCAGUCUACUGGCUCUGUUCUGACGCUGAGGAACGAAAGCGUGGGGAGCGAACGGGAUUAGAUACCCCGGUAGUCCACGCCCUAAACGAUGAACACUAGGUGUUGAGGGAUUCGACCCCCUCAGUGCCGACGCUAACGCAUUAAGUGUUCCGCCUGGGUAGUACGGUCGCAAGACUAAAACUCAAAGGAAUAGACGGGGACCCGCACAAGCGGUGGAGCAUCUGGUUUAAUUCGACACUAAGCGAGGAACCUUACCAAGGCUUGACAUCCCGCGAAGAUUGCCGAAAGGCGAUUGUGCCGUAAGGAACGC